ACGCUCCUCUCUGCCUUUUUAAAUGCCAUGCCUCCUUGCUUCGGAUGGCCAUUCCAAGCAGCUCCCCUUCUCCAUUGCUCUCACAUUAGCCGCGCUUCCCAAGCAUGUGUUCGUCCGCGUCCCGUAGUAGUUCAACACCACCUACGUCUCACCACACGAGCAAUCAGAUGCCUCCACUCCCUCUCAUCCGUUGCCCCGAAUGCAACGCCGGCUACGUCGUCUGGUUUGUCUCCGGUACAGAACUUAACCCAGGGAGGCACUUCUACAAGUGUGAACGGAAUGAGCACGGAGGUUGCAGGUUCUGGAAGUGGGAGAACAAGUACAUACAGUACUUGAGCGAGCGAUGGGGACAUCUGAUCUCGCACGCGAGCGUCCAUCGCCAUGUCGCACUGCUCGAGCAGAACCAAGCAUUCUUGAAGAAGAUUUUCAUGUUGUGCCUCGCGAAUUUGGUGGUCAUGGUCACUAUCUCCAUCCACAAGUUAUGAAGUAUCAUCCGCCCUGCGCACGGACAUGGGCACGGCUAGCGCACUGCUGUAGUAUCAAAUUUAGUGUAUCCGUUACGCGUAGGUACUGCCGUUUCUUUUUGUAUGUUCUAGUAUCCCAUGCGUAUGUGCAUGUAUAGGUUACAACGUUUUAGCGAGCCCAUGCAGGCCGCGAGUGGGUGCGUAACCAAAUUAUCUGGAUGGCGUAUUGAGUGGGGCACCCAAUUAAACAUGUCUCAAAUCAGGAAACA